rnacentral:rRNA from 1 species
GAUGAACCACUUCGGUGGGGAUUAGUGGCGAACGGGUGAGUAACACGUGGGCAAUCUGCCCUGCACUCUGGGACAAGCCCUGGAAACGGGGUCUAAUACCGGAUACUGACCCGCUUGGGCAUCCAAGCGGUUCGAAAGCUCCGGCGGUGCAGGAUGAGCCCGCGGCCUAUCAGCUUGUUGGUGAGGUAAUGGCUCACCAAGGCGACGACGGGUAGCCGGCCUGAGAGGGCGACCGGCCACACUGGGACUGAGACACGGCCCAGACUCCUACGGGAGGCAGCAGUGGGGAAUAUUGCACAAUGGGCGAAAGCCUGAUGCAGCGACGCCGCGUGAGGGAUGACGGCCUUCGGGUUGUAAACCUCUUUCAGCAGGGAAGAAGCGAAAGUGACGGUACCUGCAGAAGAAGCGCCGGCUAACUACGUGCCAGCAGCCGCGGUAAUACGUAGGGCGCGAGCGUUGUCCGGAAUUAUUGGGCGUAAAGAGCUCGUAGGCGGCUUGUCACGUCGGUUGUGAAAGCCCGGGGCUUAACCCCGGGUCUGCAGUCGAUACGGGCAGGCUAGAGUUCGGUAG